UUGUCGUGCGAGCUGCGUCGAUGUGUUUGUUUGACCGUGUGUUAUUAGGUUUGCUGUAAUGAAAUGAGACGUAGUUCGCGAGCACGAAAGUGCCAGAAGAUGGCUUGAGUCUCGCUGUAAGCACGCCGUAUGCGUGGCGCGCCAGCUAAAUGUGGACCAACGAUUUUCAUGCCAUGGAGUGCGUUCCCUUUGUCUCCGCUUGUGUUCGUGGAAAGUUUGGUGGACGGCGCAGAGAAGUAAUGCGUAUUAUUAGCGCGCCUCAGCUCGUCCACUACCCAGUGGCUUGUUUGCUGCAAGUAACAUCGCAGACGCAUCACUGGAAACUUGGAGAGUGCCUUUCGACCUCGUCGUACUGUUGAAACGUGGCGAGGCCGUGACCCACAACAUUAACUACAAGAACGAGGAGCCCCAAGAAAUGCCGACCCUGUGGAUAUAUGGCUGCAGCAGCAUGGCGUGUGAUCUGGAUCGUCAUGACAGGCUCCACCGUCGCCGUUACUAGACGGACCAAAUGAGGCCAAAAACUAGCCUUUCCUCGCUCCAUUCCUGGGAAGUGAAAUAGCAGGUGGUCAUGUAAGAAUGAACUUGCAACCAUGUGGGCAGUAGCCAAAGCUCCCUACAGUUCAUGCUGGUGGUGGAAUGAUAAGACAAACCGCAAUAUUUAUUUGUUUACUUAUUCACUUAAUAUUUAUUUAUUCAUAUCUCAUGAAUACUGUGCAGUUUUUUUAGCAAGGAGUCAGGUAAAAUAAAGAAAUAUUGUUGCAUCAAAGUAAACGUUAUUUGAAAAAGCAUAAUUCACGUAGCACGAAUUCAUGGAAACUGUAAAUUUUGAAGAAACAGAGCAGUAAGGUUAACAAAUCUUAUAUAACAAAAAAUGAGAUCACAUUUCUGUUGGACCUAAUACCAUAAUUUAAUCUGUCAAAUUAGAGAUACCAUAUGCUGCUCUAAUAUACAAUCACUAAUUUAUGAGUAGAUGCGCGAAACUCUCAAACGUUGCAACAAUUUCAUGCUAGCUGUAAAUUCAUAUAUACAGUUUGUUGACUUUAGACAUAGCAGAUGGAGUCUGCAGAACUAUGAUAUCUCUUUCUGGCACAGAGACGGGCAUUAGUAAGCUUCGUGGUGUUAUUUUUCUUAAACCUGCCAAAUAGUCCUUCCUGCAACAGGUAGAAUUCUCAAAUGCCGCAAACUUAAUUCAAAUUAGUGCUGUGGUUGUCUCAAAAGUAUUUCUGUAUUUUGGAUGUAUUUGAGUAGGAAAAUUUACAGAAUUAACGAACUUGUGCUAGCUCUUUUUUUUAUUUACAGUUGCAAACUAAGUCCUUUUCCUUCAAGUUUUGCUAUUUUCAGCAAAUUUUAAUAAAAAUUGAUGGUGUUAAUGUAAAAACUAUAAUUUAAACAUUUUUAAAUGUAUCAAACCUCAUCAAAUUUGGUUGCAUAGUUGCCGAGAAAAACGAUUUUACUGUUCAUGUGCAUUACAUAGGAGCUCCUGAGCUAGAUCUCUUUUUUAGUCAUUGCGUGUGUCGGUCUGGGUUGUAUUUCUCACCCUAAUUAGAAUAUUGGCUCUGAUCUCAAAAUUGUUUCCCUACAACGAAAUACAAGCUUUUAAACUUUUUACGAUAUAUGCUGUACUGCUCUAUGAUAACCCCUGUUUGCCACAUUUUUGCAGGGCCUACCAGUGCUAAUUUUACACAUAAACAUAGACUAAAAUGCUGUGUGGUUUCGGUAUAUGGUGUACUUAUCUGUGAAAGCCAUUAUUUGCCACAUUUUUGCAGCGACUGCCAGUGUUAUUUUUGCUCAGACUAAAAUGCUGUGUCGUUUCGUCAGGCUGACACAACAUUGCAGUGCACAUUCAUAUCAGUCUAUUUUCAGGCUUUAGUAACCAAACAUUUAAUGUGCACUGCUGGAACAGGCACUCCUUUUUCAGUUUUAAUGGUAUGGUUUCUUGUCCUAGUCAAGCCUGUUAUUGCGAGGUGUCAACUGUAAUCAAGUCUGCCACUGAUUCUUUUAACUCAUGUUUCGUGUGUUUGCACCACCAGCUUGACCUGAGAAGCAUGUUGGCAGCUACAGUUUGUGUGUUGCAAGUUCUAGUCUGAAGUGUGUAUGUCACAUAUAUGAAGCAUGUAUCUAGUCUGAAGUGCAAUAAACAUUUCAAACUGAAUA